CUCCCAUAGACUGUAGCCCAUAUAAAAAAUACGGGCCUUAAAGCAGCGCUAUUUUGACCCUCGUUGCAUCCAGUAAUCUCUGCGGUGUGCGCUCACUUUAGCGCCAGACCGCACCGAGGAAGAACAGAGAGAAGCGGGCAAACACGCAGUAGGGAAAACAAGAUCUCACGGGCCCAGAAGCGGGUCUUAAUUGUAAAAACACCAUCACUUGGGAUUUUUGAAUGCCGCCAUAUGCCGAAGGAGUACUUACUAGUAUUACUUCCCCCUGGAAACUCCGACUACUUUUUGAGACCCUGGAUUGUAGGUCUUCGCUGGAUGUUGAUGGCGAGCUAGUCCCAGAGAUGAUGCAGCCUGUAUGAUGAGAUCGGACCGCAGUGUGGCCAGCUGCUUCGGAUCCCAUUCAACAGGACUGACACAUCAGAUUACAGGACAAUGGCAGAUAAGAAAGAUCCACCACACGUUAAUAAUCCUGCCUGGGUAGAGAUACAAAUAAGUGAAAGACACUGGACACUUUUUAAAAUUGUAUUUUUUAUGAAAGAGCUAUAAGAGUCUAUUUCUUACCCCAACACUACUCCUCUGAACCUAGGUUGGUAAGUUAGCUAAAGUGCUACACUAUUGUUAAAUAUUCUACACCUGUUUUUAGCAUUCAAAAACUAUGCUACAGGGCUUUCCCCAGUACGUUGAACUAUGUGACAACAAGGGGUCUUGACGUGAGGACUUGGGAGUGAGAACGUGUUGGGUUGUAGAUGGUUCAUUUUAUAUCAACAGUUAUGAUGUGUUUUUUAGGAACGAAAGGCUGAAAGGCAUUUUGUAAUAAAAAAUAUGUUUGGUAUCA